GGCUACCGGGGGGUGCUAUACAUGCAGUCGAGCGGACAGAUGGGAGCUUGCUCCCUGAUGUUAGCGGCGGACGGGUGAGUAACACGUGGGUAACCUGCCUGUAAGACUGGGAUAACUCCGGGAAACCGGGGCUAAUACCGGAUGGUUGUUUGAACCGCAUGGUUCAAACAUAAAAGGUGGCUUCGGCUACCACUUACAGAUGGACCCGCGGCGCAUUAGCUAGUUGGUGAGGUAACGGCUCACCAAGGCAACGAUGCGUAGCCGACCUGAGAGGGUGAUCGGCCACACUGGGACUGAGACACGGCCCAGACUCCUACGGGAGGCAGCAGUAGGGAAUCUUCCGCAAUGGACGAAAGUCUGACGGAGCAACGCCGCGUGAGUGAUGAAGGUUUUCGGAUCGUAAAGCUCUGUUGUUAGGGAAGAACAAGUACCGUUCGAAUAGGGCGGUACCUUGACGGUACCUAACCAGAAAGCCACGGCUAACUACGUGCCAGCAGCCGCGGUAAUACGUAGGUGGCAAGCGUUGUCCGGAAUUAUUGGGCGUAAAGGGCUCGCAGGCGGUUUCUUAAGUCUGAUGUGAAAGCCCCCGGCUCAACCGGGGAGGGUCAUUGGAAACUGGGGAACUUGAGUGCAGAAGAGGAGAGUGGAAUUCCACGUGUAGCGGUGAAAUGCGUAGAGAUGUGGAGGAACACCAGUGGCGAAGGCGACUCUCUGGUCUGUAACUGACGCUGAGGAGCGAAAGCGUGGGGAGCGAACAG
rnacentral:rRNA from 1 species